UCUGAUCUGGGAAAAGAGUCAGACCACAGAGUCCGGUCAGUGCAAGGACAUUCCCUGCGAAUCGUCCAUAUUUUGCUAUGACACUUUUCCCUGCUCUGCAGAACAACUCAUGACUUGCCCAUUGGUUACAUCAAAAUGCACAAUUUUGGACUCCAAAGCCUUUUGUUGACGUUUUUAUACAUAAUAAUUCCCCACUAAUCGUCCAUAUUUUGCUAUGACACUUUUCCCUGCUCUGCAGAACAACCCAUAACUUACCCAUUGGUUACAUCAAAAUGCACAAUUUUGGACUCCAAAGCCUUAUGUUGACGUUUUUAUACAUAAUAAUAAUUCCCCACUAAUCGUCCAUAUUUUGUUAUGACACUUUUCCCUGCUCUGCAGAACAACCCAUGACUUGUCCAUUGGUUACAUCAAAAUCCACAAUUUUGGACUCCAAAGCCUUUCGCUGACUUUUUAAUACAUUAUUAUUAUUAUUAUUCCCCAUUAAUCAUCCGUAUUUUGCUAGGACACUUUUCCUCCUCUGCAGAAUGACCCAUGACUUACCCAUGGGUCACAUCAAAACCCACAAUUUUGGACUGCAAAGCCUUUCCUUGACUGGGUUGCUGUGAAUUUUCUGGGCUGUCUGCCCAUGUUCCAGAAGCAUUCUCUCCUGACGUUUCACCCGCAUCUAUGGCAGCCAUCCUCAGAGGUUGUGAGCAGCACACCGAGCUGAUGCAGAAAGGCUCCUUGCACCGUACGGGACGCAGAUGACAAAGAAAUAGACUUACCUUUGGCGUCAACAUGCUCCUUGCCUUUGCAAGCACUUCCUGCGCACUGGUGAUCUUGUCUACUUGCGGAGGCUGCGGCACCUCGGCGGGAGCGAUGUCUGGCACCUCGUCCACGUUGAACCUAGGGUGCCAUCGGGUCAGUUUGUCCUCCAGCACCGCCAUGGGAGGGCUGAGUGAGGCCAGGAAGGCCUGCAAGGAAAGGACACCCGCAUAAAGAGAAAGAAACCACUGCCUGCAACAUAGGUUUACGUUGAGCAGGGAACUAUAUCCCUUGAAGUGCCAUGGCUCAACCUUCAGAGCUGCAGCCUGGUAAAGUACCAGAACUCCUUGGCAGGGAAGGCUAAAUGACCUUUGGAAACCUACAACUCCCAAGGUCCCAUAACAGAGCCGUGGCCAUUCAAGUGGCGUCAAACUGCAUUGGUUCUGCAGUGAAGAGGCACUCAGAGAAGGCAAAGGGCUUUGGAAAACUACAACUCCCAGGGUCCCAUUGCAUCAAUUCCAGUACAGAUGCACCUAAAGAAGGCAAAAGGCCUUGGGGAAACUACAACUCCCAGAGUCCCAUUGCAUUGAUUCCGGUGCAGAUGCCCUUAAAGAAGGCAAAAGGCCUUCAGGAAAUGACAACUCCCAGAGUCCCAUUGCAUCAAUUCCAGUGCAGAUGCACCUAAAGAAGGCAAAAGGCCUUGGGGAAACGACAACUCCCAGGGUCCCAUUGCAUUGAUUCCAGUGUAGAUGUACCCAGACAAGGCAAAAGGCCUUGGAAGCCACAACUCCCAAGGCUCCGUUGCACAGAUUCUGCAGCAUAGAUGCACACGGAGAAGGCAAUAUACCUUGGAAAACUGUAACUCCCAAGGUUCCAUUGUAUUGAUUUCAAUGUCAGUGCCCCCAGAGAAGAGGAGAGAUCUUGGGAAACUACAACUCCCCAGGACCCUGUUGCAUUAAUCGACAGUGUAGAUACACCCAGAAAAGGGGAAAGAAAACUGCAACUCCCAGGGUCCCAUUGCAUUGAUUCUGCAGCAUAGAUGCACCCACAGAAGGAUCUUAGAAAACUACAUCUCCAAGGCUCCCAAAGCAGUGGCAGUUCAAGUGGUGUUGAACUGCAUUCAUUCAACAAUGUAGAUGCACCCUUAUGUUUCAGCUGGACAAAGAAGGAAGGGAAGGGCAGACCCAAUGACUCACCUUGUGGUGACUCUUGACAAUGUUGACCAGGUUCCUGCUGAAUACCUUCCGGCGCUCCAUCAGCCGUGAAGCCGACAGUUUCUCACCUGAAAGUGACAGAAGAGGCUGUCAGGAAACCGACGUCCUGAAUGAUGUAUGAGUCAGGUCUCAUUUCGCCUGCUCAUCCGUUAGACCACUUAGUGACUACUAAAGCAGCACUAAAACACGACAGCAUAGUCAAUCUGCUGAUCCCAGCGGCACUAAAAACUUUAUUUACAGAUAUCUACAAAGAUAAACAGCCAAAGCUGCUCAGACAAAUCUUGCUUCAGCAAGAACAAAUCAUGGAGUCACUCUGUGUCUGUUAUUAGUAAACUUUAAGCACAUCUCAUAUUCCACAGUCUGUGACAUAUCUUCCUGCUAAGUAGCUCAGACGGAAGUCUUGAUGCUGUGCCCUUCCAGCCAUAAAUCAGGGCUCGCUGCAAUUAACUACUUGACUGCUGGAAUGCUUACCGGAGCAAAAACACACUUACACAGCAACAAUGAAUUAAACAUUUCAUUACAUAACACAAAAACCGUAACAGAGGCCUCUGGGUUUUGCAAAGCCAUUUGAUGGUUGUAUUUUAAUGGCCAGAAAUGCCCCCAUUUGGGGAAAUGGGUCAUUUUGGAGUCUGGAUCCUUUGCCCCAUAACGUACCAGCUUCCAGGACUGGUUCGAACGUCAGCUGGUAGUCGCUUUGCUUGGGGCCUCCGCUGCGAAAAGUGGGGACGUUCUUCUCUUGGCGUAAAAUGUACGACUCUGGGAACACCGUUUUGAUCUGACCCACGUUGCGCUCCUCGAACUGCCUGUAGAAUGGCAAACAUUAAAUGUACAGGAUUCACCUUGCAGAUCAUUGCCCCCAAAGCUUGAUUGACAAGGGCUUUUUUAAAAGGCAAACUUCCACCACUAGAUUUAGGAAAACAAUAAUAAAUAUUUCCCCAUCUCAGAGUCCCAGCAAAAAACACAGGCAAUGUCAAAGUACAUAUUUGAAUAAUAAUAUCUAUUAUUGAUUUAUUACCCGCCUCUCCUUGCAGCUCGAGAAGUAAACAGAAAGACAAAACACAAGCCUAUUAAAUUACUUAUAACAAGAUACAGAAAGAGGCAGCAACAUUCUUUCAGAGGGAAAAGCAUACAGAGUACUGCAUAUAAUGAGUCUUCAGUAUCUAUUAGGGUUUGGUUCCAAGGGUAUAUUCAAUUAAUAAUAAUAAUAAUAAUAAUAAUGUAUUUGUUACCUGCCUCUCCUAAUGACGCAAGGUGGGGUACAAAGAACUCAAAACAUAUCAACAUAUAGCAUACAAUAAAAUGCAUAACAUUACACACUAUAUAUAUAUUAUAUUUUAUAUAUAUAUAUAUAUAUAUAUAAAACACAUAGCAUUUAUGUGAUAGAUGCAUGUUAUUGAAUGUAUGUUAUAUAUACACACACAUAUAGUGUGUAUAUGAUAUAUGCAUUUUGUUGCAUUACGUGUUUUAUAUAUACACACACACACAUGUAUAUACAAACUCACACAUAUAGUGCAUAUAUAUGUUUUCAUUGCAUGUAUUAUAUAUAUGUAUGCACACAUACACAAACACACACAUAUACAUAUUGUAUGUAUAUCUAUGAUAUAUGCAUUUUGUUGCAUUGUUAUAUAUAUAUACACACACAUAUAUAUACAAACUCAUAUACAUAUAGUGUGCGUGUGUGUAUGUAUGUAUAUAUAUAUAUAUAUUGUAUGUAUUAUAUAUGUUAUAUACGCGCGUGCACACACACACUGUAGAAUGCAUUUUGCAUCACUACCGUGUUUCCCCGAAAAUAAGACAGUGUCUUAUAUUAAUUUUUGCUCCCAAAGAUGCUCAAGGUCUUAUUUUCAGGGGAUGUCUUAUUUUUCCAUGAAGAAGAAUUCACAUUUAUUGUUGAACAAAAAAUGAACAUUUAUUAUAUACUGUAGUCAUCACAAACCAGCAUAACCAGACAAACUGUGAAUCCUAUCAAGAAUUUCUUGUUACUACCAUUAUUUCCAUGUCCAAUGCCGGGCUGUGGCGCAGCUGGCUAGUAACCAGCUGCUAUAAAUCACUACUGACCGAGAGGUCAUGAGUUCGAAGCCCGGGUCGGGUUAAGCCUCCGACCAUUAAUAGCCCCGGCUUGCUGUUGACCUAUGCAGCCCCGAAAGACAGUUGCAUCUGUCAAUUAGGGAAAUGUAGGGACGCUUUAUGCGGGAGGCUAAUUUACAACACCAUAAAACUGCCAGCAAAACACGAGGAAAGGAAUGAGGAAGUACAGCCACUACUGGACGGUGAAGCAACAGCUCCCCCUGUGGCCAGAAUCGUGAAGCUGGAAAAAUGUUUAAAAAAAGCCUCUGAGUCUGUCUAUACUGUAUGUUGUUUGUCUGUUGGUAUUGAAUGUUUGCCAUACAUGUGUUCAUUGUAAUCCGCCCUGAGUCCCCUUCGGGGUGAAAAAGAAGGGCGGGAUAUAAAUAAAUAAAUAAAUAAAUACAACUGGUAUGUACAUU